rnacentral:tRNA from 1 species
GGGAGUGUAGCUCAGUUGGUUAGAGCACACGGCUGUGUUGAUUUUGUGUAAGUAACACGCUAAUAAUUAGAGAUACAAGUUCAAAUCUUGUAAUCAGCACCAUAACCGUGGUGUCGGGGGUUCGAGUCCCUCCUUUCCCG